rnacentral:rRNA from 1 species
UACGAAGGGGGCUAGCGUUGCUCGGAAUUACUGGGCGUAAAGCGCACGUAGGCGGCUUUCUAAGUCGGGGUGAAAUCCUGGAGCUCAACUCCAGAACUGCCUUCGAUACUGGAGAGCUCGAGUCCGGGAGAGGUGAGUGGAACUGCGAGUGUAGAGGUGAAAUUCGUAGAUAUUCGCAAGAACACCAGUGGCGAAGGCGGCUCACUGGCCCGGUACUGACGCUGAGGUGCGAAAGCGUGGGAGCAA